rnacentral:tRNA from 1 species
GCCGAAGUGGCUCAGUUGGUAGAGCAGCUCAUUCGUAACGAGCAGGUCGUGGGUUCGAGUCCCAUCUUCGGCUCCA